GGUGGAGUGGGUGAGUGGUUAAAACCAUCGGACUGUAAAUCCGACGUCUCUGGCUACGCUGGUUCGAAUCCAGCCUCCACCACCA
rnacentral:tRNA from 1 species